UGUUGCUAUACAUAUUACAUCGAUCUCUCAAAAUCAAAUACUUACAAUCUAUCUAUCGAUGGAAAAACACAUUAUGCUACAAAUCAUAGUAUCUCUUACUGCAGUGGUGAUCCUUGGUCUGUUUCUGAGGCUGUAUACCGCCUUAGUAGCGACGCCGCGACGGCUGCUGAGAGAGCAAGGCAUAGGAGGGCCGCCCCCCGGCUAAUUUCUUGCUCGGUAAUGUCUUGGAGAUGAAGACGCCGCCGACACGGACACCAAAAACGCUGGUGGAAGAUCCUCACUACUUUGCAACUGAGUUGCAUGCUGUUUUCCAUAAAUGGAGGCGACAAUAUUACUCCCACUCCCAUUAAUUUUUUCAUUUUGUCAUUUUUAUUUUAUUAAUUAUUGUAAUUUCACUUUUUACUAUUUUCAGUAAUUGAAGCUUAUAUUCCACUAAUUCAUUUUGUUUUAUGCAGGUGAGAUGUAUACGUUUUCACUGGGUACUAAACCGGUGUUAGUGGUGAAUGAAUGUGAUGUGAUAAAAGAGUAGGGUGCUUCCAAAUCUCUGAUCUGGGGAGACCUUUGAGUCAUUGCUCGGCAACGGCGUUUCGGCAUCAACUGGAGAAUUAUGGGCAUAUGAAAGGAAGGUUAUGGCUCCUGGGCUCAACAUGAACAAAAUCCAGGGAAUGAGAAAUUCGAUUCAACAAUCAGCACUAAUGUUGAAGGUGGUAAAGCAGAUAUCAAAGUUGAUAAUUACCUAAUAAAAUUCGCAAGAGUUUGUUUUGGAAGCAACUAUGCGGAAGGAGAACAGCUUUUCGAAAAGCUACAAGCUCUUGUGCAAGUCACCGCUAAACAAAGGUUUCCUCAUAGGCAUUCCCGGCAUGAGAUAUGUCCCGACCAAGCAGAACAGGAGGGAGUGGAAGCUGCGGAAAGAUGUGAAAGAAUUGAUCUCGAAAUUACUAGAUCAAAAAAAUAAAGCUGGGAAUGAGGAAAAUAUGCUGAAAUUUAUCCUUCAAAGCAGUUUCAGCCCAAACGAAAUGGAGGAUUUUAUUAUUGAUAAUUGCAAAAGCAUAUUAUUAGCUGGAUAUGAGCCGGUUUCGAUUGCAGCUUCUUGGAUUCUCAUGCUCUUAGCUUCGAAUAAAGAAUGGCAAGAUCGUGUAAGAGAAGAGGUUUUUGAAGUUUGCAAAGGAAAAGUUCCAGAUUUCGAUUCUAUCAGGCACUUGAAACACGUAAAAUUCAUGCCGAUCUUCAUUUUUCAAAUACUCACUUUGGGUAAUUAUGAUCUU